rnacentral:rRNA from 1 species
CAGUAGCCGCGGGAAUACAGAGGGUGCGAGCGUUAAUCGGAUUUACUGGGCGUAAAGCGUGCGUAGGCGGCUUCUUAAGUCGGAUGUGAAAUCCCUGAGCUUAACUUAGGAAUUGCAUUCGAUACUGGGAAGCUAGAGUAUGGGAGAGGAUGGUAGAAUUCCAGGUGUAGCGGUGAAAUGCGUAGAGAUCUGGAGGAAUACCGAUGGCGAAGGCAGCCAUCUGGCCUAAUACUGACGCUGAGGUACGAAAGCAUGGGGAGCAAACAGGAUUAGAUACCCGCGUAGUCCCUGUCUCUUAUAA